GAUGAACGCUGGCGGCGUGCCUAAUACAUGCAAGUCGAGCGAAUGGAUUAAGAGCUUGCUCUUAUGAAGUUAGCGGCGGACGGGUGAGUAGCACGUGGGUAACCUGCCCAUAAGACUGGGAUAACUCCGGGAAACCGGGGCUAAUGCCGGAUAACAUUUUGAACCGCAUGGUUCGAAAUUGAAAGGCGGCUUCGGCUGUCACUUAUGGAUGGACCCGCGUCGCAUUAGCUAGUUGGUGAGGUAACGGCUCACCAAGGCAACGAUGCGUAGCCGACCUGGGAGGGUGAUCGGCCACACUGGGACUGAGACACGGCCCAGACUCCUACGGGAGGCAGCAGUAGGGAAUCUUCCGCAAUGGACGAAAGUCUGACGGAGCAACGCCGCGUGAGUGAUGAAGGCUUUCGGGUCGUAAAACUCUGUUGUUAGGGAAGAACAAGUGCUAGUUGAAUAAGCUGGCACCUUGACGGUACCUAACCAGAAAGCCACGGCUAACUACGUGCCAGCCGCCGCAGUAA
rnacentral:rRNA from 1 species